rnacentral:rRNA from 1 species
AGUUUGNUCAUGGUUCAGGAUGAACGCAAAAAGCGUGAUAAACCCAUGCAAGCAGAACGGAAAGUAAUGAGUGAUUUGUGCUGAAAAUCAGGUUAGUGGCGGACGGGUGCGUAACACGUGGGCAACCUGCCCUGCUUUUCGGAAUAACGCCGGGAAACCGUCGCUAAUGCCGAAUGAUAUGAGAAGAAGGCAUCUUCUUUUCAUCAAAGAAUUUCGAAGCAGGAUGGGCCCGCGCCGGAUUAGCUGGUUGGUGAGGUAACGGCUCACCAAGGCGACGAUCCGUAGCCGACCUGAGAGGGUGAUCGGCCACACUGGAACUGAGACACGGUCCAGACUCCUACGGGAGGCAGCAGUGGGGAAUAUUGCACAAUGGGCGAAAGCCUGAUGCAGCAACGCCGCGUGAGCGAUGAAGGCUUUCGAGUCGUAAAGCUCUGU